GACGAACGCUGGCGGCGUGCCUAACACAUGCAAGUUGAGCGACGAACCAGGGCUUGCCCUGGGGCAAAGCAGCGAACGGGUGAGUAGCACGUGGGUAACCUACCCCGAUAACCGGGACAACCCGAGGAAACUCGGGCUAAUACCGGAUGUGCUCACUGGACUUCGGUUCAGUGCGUAAAGGAAGCUUCGGCCUCCGUAUCGGGAGGGGCCCGCGGCCCAUUAGUUUGUUGGUGAGGUAACGGCUCACCAAGACCGCGAUGGGUAGCUGGUCUGAGAGGACGAUCAGCCACACUGGGACUGAGACACGGCCCAGACUCCUACGGGAGGCAGCAGUGGGGAAUCUUGCGCAAUGCGCGAAAGCGUGACGCAGCAACGCCGCGUGGGGGAAGAAGGCCUUCGGGUUGUAAACCCCUUUCAGGAGGGACGAAGGUUCGGCGGUGAAUAGCCGUCCGGACUGACGGUACCUCCACAAGAAGCCCCGGCUAACUACGUG
rnacentral:rRNA from 1 species